AUUGAACGCUGGCGGCAUGCCUUACACAUGCAAGUCGAACGGUAACGGGCCUUCGGGUGCCGACGAGUGGGGAACGGGUGAGUAAUGUAUCGGAACGUACCUUUCAGUGGGGGGUAACGUAGCGAAAGUUACGCUAAUACCGCAUAUUCUGUGAGCAGGAAAGCAGGGGAUCGCAAGACCUUGCGCUGAUUGAGCGGCCGAUAUCAGAUUAGCUAGUUGGUGAGGUAAAGGCUCACCAAGGCGACGAUCUGUAGCGGGUCUGAGAGGCUAAUCCGACACACUGGAACUGAGACACGGUCCAGACUCCUACGGGAGGCAGCAGUGGGGAAUUUUGGACAAUGGGGGCAACCCUGAUCCAGCCAUGCCGCGUGAGUGAAGAAGGCCUUCGGGUUGUAAAGCUCUUUCGGCCGGGAAGAAAUCGUAUGGGUUAAUACCCUGUGCGGAUGACGGUACCGGCAUAAGAAGCACCGGCUAACUACGUGCCAGCCGCCGCCGUAAAAC
rnacentral:rRNA from 1 species